rnacentral:rRNA from 1 species
GGGCGUAAAGCGCGCGCAGGCGGAAUGUUAAGUAGGAAGUGAAAGGUCGGAGCUCAACUCCAACAUUGCUUCCUAUACUGGCUUUCUUGAGUCCCGGAGAGGAAAGCGGAACGACACGUGUAGCGGUGAAAUGCGUUGAUAUGUGUCGGAACACCAAUGGCGAAGGCAGCUUUCUGGACGGGUACUGACGCUCAGGCGCGAAAGCCGAGGUAGCGAACAGGAUUAGAUACCCUGGUAGUCUCGGCCCUAAACGAUGAUCACUAGGUGUCGGGGGGUUUCCUUCGGUGCCGCAGCUAACGCAUUAAGUGAUCCGCCUGGGGACUACGGCCGCAAGGUUGAAACUCAAAGGAAUUGGCGGGGGCCCGCACAAGCGGUGGAGCAUAUGGCUUAAUUCGAUGCAACGCGAAGAACCUUACCCAGGCUUGACAUGAUACUGCAAGCUCCCGAAACGGAGUCGCCUUCGAGGGUGUAUCACAGGUGGUGCAUGGCUGUCGUCAGCUCGUGUUGUGAAAUGUUGGGUUAAGUCCCGCAACGAGCGCAACCCUCAUGUUCUGUUGCCAGCGAGUAAUGUCGGGAACUCGGAACAAACUGCCUAUGUAAAUAGGAGGAAGGUGGGGAUGACGUCAAGUCAUCAUGCCCCUUACGCCUGGGGCUGCACAUAUGCUACAAUGGCUGCUACAAACGGUUGCAAACUCGCGAGAGCAAGCGAAUCUGAAAAAAGCAGUCUCAGUUCGGAUUGGAGUCUGCAACUCGACUCCAUGAAGCCGGAAUCGCUAGUAACCGCAGGUCAGCACUACUGCG